UACGUAGGGGGCUAGCGUUAUCCGGAAUUACUGGGCGUAAAGGGUGCGUAGGUGGUUUCUUAAGUCAGAGGUGAAAGGCUACGGCUCAACCGUAGUAAGCCUUUGAAACUGGGAAACUUGAGUGCAGGAGAGGAGAGUGGAAUUCCUAGUGUAGCGGUGAAAUGCGUAGAUAUUAGGAGGAACACCAGUUGCGAAGGCGGCUCUCCGGACUGUAACUGACACUGAGGCACGAAAGCGUGGGGAGCAAACAGGAUUAGAUACCCGCGUAGUCCCUGAGCGGGCU
rnacentral:rRNA from 1 species